AUUGAACGCUGGCGGCAGGCCUAACACAUGCAAGUCGAGCGAGCGGCGGACGGGUGAGUAAUGCUUAGGAAACUGCCUGCUGGAGGGGGAUAACUACUGGAAACGGUAGCUAAUACCGCAUACCAUCAGAUGUGCCCAGAUGGGAUUAGCUAGUAGGUGGGGUAACGGCUCACCUAGGCGACGAUCCCUAGCUGGGCUGAGAGGAUGACCAGCCACACUGGAACGGAGACACGGUCCAGACUCCUACGGGAGGCAGCAGUGGGGAAUAUUGCACAAUGGGCGAAAGCCUGAUGCAGCCAUGCCGCGUGAGUGAAGAAGGCCUUCGGGUUGUAAAGCACUUUCAGCGGGGAGGCGUUACCCGCAGAAGAAGCACCGGCUAACUCCGUGCCAGCAGCCGCGGUAAUUC
rnacentral:rRNA from 1 species